rnacentral:rRNA from 1 species
CUCGGCCACCAUACCACCUGCAGGUCAGACUAGGUAAUCUAUCUGAAGCUAAGCAGGUUUGGGCAUGGUCAGUACUUGGAUGGGAGACCAGCUAGUAAAGCUUGGUUGCUGUUG